UACGAAGGGGGCUAGCGUUGUUCGGAUUUACUGGGCGUAAAGCGCACGUAGGCGGAUCGUUAAGUCGGGGGUGAAAUCCUGGAGCUCAACUCCAGAACUGCCUUCGAUACUGGCGAUCUUGAGUCCGGAAGAGGUGAGUGGAACUCCUAGUGUAGAGGUGGAAUUCGUAGAUAUUAGGAAGAACACCAGUGGCGAAAGGCGGCUCACUGGUCCGGUACUGACGCUGAGGUGUGAAAGCGUGGGGAGCAAACAGG
rnacentral:rRNA from 1 species